AGCUAUAUUUUGCAUGAAUCCAUUUAUUUGCAAUUUGCAAUUCAAGAAUAGGAAAAAUUAACCUACGGUGAUAGGAAUCAGAUCAGUGAUUACUUGGUGCUGAGAAGGUGCAACAAGGAGCUUUCUGGACUGAUGGAAGUGUUCUGUCUCAAUAUGAAUUCCUGAAAACUGAUCGAAUGGUAUAUUUAAGAUUUGAGCUUUUCACUGUAUAUAAAUUAUAUCUCAAUUAAAAUUUUAUUUAUUUUUAGCAUACCAAGAGAGAAAGAGAAGUACUUAGAAAAACUGAUAAAACUUCAAAUAUGUUUGCAAAAGAUAACCCUUUUUUAUGGUUAUACUGUGAAAGUCAAAUAGCUAAGCUGGCCAGGCUUGGUGGCUCACGCCUGUAAUCAGGAGGUCAGGAGAUCGAUACCAUCCUUGCUAACAUGGUGAAACCCUGUCUUUACUAAAAAUACAUAAAGAAAUUAGCUGAGCAUGGUGGUGGGUGCCUGUAGUCCCAGCUACUCGGGAGGCUGAGGCAGGAGAAUGGUGUGAACCCAGGAGGCGGAGCUUGCAGUGAGCCAAGAUCGCCACUGCACUUCAGCCUGGGUGGCAGAGCGAGACUCCGUCUCCAAAAAAAAAAAGAAAUUGGUCUAAGUUAUAUCAUGCUAUCAAACAAUUUUCUGAGAAAAAUUUUGUCUGGAACACAGCCUUCCAAAUAAGAAACACUUGGUUCAUUCUUUGCUCUAAUAAUUAUAAUAAUUAUAAUUAUAAAUGACAUUUUUAUGAAACAUAUAUUAAGAGACACUUAUAAUUUUUCUCUUUUUAAAGGUAAAUUCUCAAUCAAAUUUUGUUACUCAUUUUAAGUAGAUUCAACUUAAGAUUCAUUUACUCAACAAAUAUUUAUCGAGAGCUUACAAUGUGCCAGGCAUUGUUCUAAGUGCUUGUGAUGUACCAGUGAACAAAACAGACAAGGAGCCCGGCCAGUGUGGAGCAUAUAUUCUCACAGGGAAACAAACAACAUACAUUCUCACAGGGGAAAAAACAUACAUUCUCACAGGGGAACAAACAACAUACAUUCUCACAGGGAAACAACAUACAUUCUCACAGGGGAACAAAAUAACAUACAUUCUCACAGGGAAACAACAUAUAUUCUCACAGGGAAACAACAUACAUUCUCACAGGGGAACAAACAACAUACAUUCUCACAGGGAAACAACAUACAUUCUCACAGAAAAAAACAAAUAAAUAUCUCAUGAGGAAAUAAACAACAUACAUUCUCACUAGGGAAAUAAAUACCAUACAUUCCCUAUAGGAAACAAUAUACAUUCUCACAGAAAAUGAUCUCCACACAACCCAU
rnacentral:lncRNA from 1 species